UGGGACUCGAACUCACAAACCACGAGAUCAUGACCUGAGCUGAAGAUGGUGCUUAACCAACUGAGCCACCCUGGUUGCCCCUGUUUUUGAGUGCUGUCCAGAAUAAAACGUAUUCAUCCGACGACUCCAUAAUCUGUGUCCACAUAUCCUGUGCUUGGUGCACCACACAAAAUCUGACACAGGGAAAGAUAGUAGAAAAUGAAAGAAAAGUCUCUGUGUUGUGUUCAUACGCUGCUUCACUAGAUUGACCUCUCUCUCUCUUUUGUUUGGUACUUCUUCUUUCUAGGUUAGUGCACCUUUCUUGUCUCCAUAGUAGGGGUUGACACUAGGAAUUGAUAUCCCUUGUUUCCCUGCUCAUCAUUUUGAUUCAGUAGGUAGAAUGUGUAUCAGCCAUUAAUGGCACUUUUUUCAUCUCCUUCCAUCGACAGUGUACAACCCUUCCUUGAUUCUGAGGGACCCAGCUGCCAUGCUGUGAGGAAGCUCAGGCUAUCUUUCUGGAGAGAGAGGCAUCCUGAAGAAGCUAUGGAGGGAGACAGAAGGAGGGCACAGAAGAAACACAGGUCACCCACAGAAUCAAGUUCAGUCCUCAUUUAUUGUUUUAAGCCAUUAAGUUUUGGGUGGAGAUGUGUUACACAGCUUUUGAUAACUGAAACACUCAGAUAGUUUGUGUUCUUCA